AUUGAACGCUGGCGGCAUGCCUUACACAUGCAAGUCGAACGGUAACAGGUCUUCGGAUGCUGACGAGUGGCGAACGGGUGAGUAAUACAUCGGAACGUGCCUAGUAGUGGGGGAUAACUACUCGAAAGAGUGGCUAAUACCGCAUGAGAUCUACGGAUGAAAGCAGAGGAACGCAAGACCUUGUGCUACUAGAGCGGCCGAUGGCAGAUUAGGUAGUUGGUGGGAUAAAAGCUUACCAAGCCGACGAUCUGUAGCUGGUCUGAGAGGACGAUCAGCCACACUGGGACUGAUACACGGCCCAGACUCCUACGGGAGGCAGCAGUGGGGAAUUUUGGACAAUGGGCGCAAGCCUGAUCCAGCAAUGCCGCGUGCAGGAUGAAGGCCUUCGGGUUGUAAACUGCUUUUGUACGGAACGAAAAGCCCCGGGUUAAUACCCUGGGGUCAUGACGGUACCGUAAGAAUAAGCACCGGCUAACUACGUGCCAGCCGCCGCCGUAAAAC
rnacentral:rRNA from 1 species